rnacentral:lncRNA from 1 species
UCUCAGAACAAUAUCUUUUGGAGAUUCAAUAAAAAGAUUGAAAGAAAAAGAUUGCUCUGACAGAAAAAAAGAAUAAAUGGUUCAUUUAUGGCACCUUUUAAAAUCUGUUUUCAGAAAUUGCAUAUGCAAUAGAAAUUUCGAAGUACUGUCCCAAACCAGAAGAGGUUUGCUCCACUAAUAGCAGAAGUAUGUUGGAAUUCUGUGAGUCAGAGCAUCAGGCUGUUAAACUUGCAUAUCAGCGUUAUUCACUUACAGAAUUGAAGGAAAUGUUACCAGUUGAGGUAGAAGCACCAGUGCUUAGCUCACUUGAGAAGGGCUGGUGGCUUCAUUUGGGUUUAAAUCCAGUCUCCAUAGAACCUUUGGAGCAAUUAAAUAUGGAUGCCAGUAAUGCAAACCAUUUGCUUCUCACAGAAGUAGAAACAUUCACACAAUUUACAUCAUACCAGUUAGAAAGAUGGCUUGAAGAGAAGAAUUCCAUGACAAACCAGGAGCUUCUUUCUGCUGAAAGACAUCAGUUGGACAAAGUAAUUAAUCCUUCCGUGUCACCACAGACUCAAAGGCAGUGCUUUGCCCUGCACGUGAGUGCUGCACCAUCUGCCAAAAUUCACAGUACAAAUACAUCUGUGGAAGAGCUCACUGGAGGAAGCAUAAGAAAGAGUAAGGUAGAAGAAGCCAUUUAUUCCUUAAACCAAGAAAAGAAACCCACCAAAACAUCUGAAUCAAUCAGCUGUAAAGAUGUGUCUUCUAAACGAGACAACUCAUCCAGUAGUCAAAAGCCUGCAUCACUUGCACUUGCUACAAAAUGGGACAAUGAUGAUUCUGAUCUGAGCAACUUUAUCAUGCUGAGAUCUAAACACACACUCACCCACAGAGAAGAAGAAAAUGAUAUAAAUAGUCCUAGAAAAGGUAUGUGAACCAGAUUAGCAUGCCAUUUUCCAGGUUUAAAUCUGGUCUCUUAUUCCAGUUACAAUAAAUGCUAGCUCCUCUAAGUAGAUCUAUGGG